AAAAAACGAACCCGGCUGUUUUCCUUUCACUUCUCGAUACACGCACAUUCUUCCAAGACCCUACCUUUGGAGAGAGGCUUACUGAAAGAAGGAGUAGUAGUUGCACUGUAUUGCAUGUGGAAUCUGACCCCUGCUGUGGAAGUGUGGAGUCUUGAUCACUGAACCACCAGCGAAGUCCUCUGAGAAAGACAUGUUCACGUCAAAGCCACCACAUAAGGAGCAGCCCAGGCAUUCUGGGAAGUGACGAUCGGGCAGACAGAGGCCUCAGGCUGACGUCAGAGCAGCCCGGCUGGCAGCUUGGGGGUGAGGGGGGGCUCUCUGAUGAGUCACCUGCUCUUUGUCACGUCUCAGCUCCUCUCUCCCUGAGCCUGUCUCGUUGGAGUUUCCUGAGGACAAGGGACCCUCCACUCCAUCUUCCACCAGGAGUGCCCAUCCUCACCGAGCACCAGGGCGGAUGGCGCUGCCCUGCUCUGCAGCCCCAGGAGGACCCCCCCAGUCCAGCUGCACCCCCCACCCCCAAGUCCAUCAUCCAUCCCAUGGCCGAGGACUCCUCCUGAAGACCAAAUGGGGUCAUGGCUCUCCCCUCACCGCUUUCUUGCCUCCCUUUACAGGUCUCUCCUCGAAAGAUUUUUCUUAGAAGAAUUUUGCAUCUAAAAAAGAAAAAUAAAAAGACC